GAUGAACGCUGGCGGCGUGCCUAAUACAUGCCAGUCGAGCGAACGGACGAGAAGCUUGCUUCUCUGAUGUUAGCGGCGGACGGGUGAGUAACACGUGGAUAACCUACCUAUAAGACUGGGAUAACUUCGGGAAACCGGAGCUAAUACCGGAUAAUAUUUUGAACCGCUUGGUUCAAAAGUGAAAGACGGUCUUGCUGUCACUUAUAGAUGGAUCCGCGCUGCAUUAGCUAGUUGGUAAGGUAACGGCUUACCAAGGCAACGAUGCAUAGCCGACCUGAGAGGGUGAUCGGCCACACUGGAACUGAGACACGGUCCAGACUCCUACGGGAGGCAGCAGUAGGGAAUCUUCCGCAAUGGGCGAAAGCCUGACGGAGCAACGCCGCGUGAGUGAUGAAGGUCUUCGGAUCGUAAAACUCUGUUAUUAGGGAAGAACAUAUGUGUAAGUAACUGUGCACAUCUUGACGGUACCUAAUCAGAAAGCCACGGCUAACUACGUG
rnacentral:rRNA from 1 species